GGCUCAGAACGAACGCUGGCGGCGUGCUUAACACAUGCAAGUCGAACGCGAAAGGGGACUUCGGUCCUGAGUAAAGUGGCGCACGGGUGAGUAACGCGUAGAUAACCUGUCUUCAUGUCUGGAAUAAUACGCCAAAGGGGUACUAAUACCGGAUAUUCUUGCUUUUCAUAAGUUAUGCAAGCAAAGGUGGCCUCUGCAUAUGCUACUGCAUGAAGAGGGGUCUGCGUACCAUUAGCUAGUAGGUGGGGUAAUGGCCUACCUAGGCGACGAUGGUUAGCGGGUCUGAGAGGAUGAUCCGCCACACUGGCACUGGAACACGGGCCAGACUCCUACGGGAGGCAGCAGUGAGGAAUAUUGCGCAAUGGGGGAAACCCUGACGCAGCGACGCCGCGUGAGUGAGGAAGGCCUUCGGGUCGUAAAGCUCUGUCAAGAGGAAAGAAGUGUACAAUGGCUAAUACCUGUUGUAUUUGACGGUACCUCUAAAGGAAGCACCGGCUAACUCCGUGCCAGCCGCCGC
rnacentral:rRNA from 1 species